rnacentral:tRNA from 1 species
GGGGUUGUGGCUCAGUGGUAGAGUGCUUGCCUUGCAUGCCUGGGGCACUGGGUUCAAUUCUCAGCACCA